rnacentral:lncRNA from 1 species
GUACGGCCUUCAAGACGGAGCUUUGGCUCACCCCAAACAGUAAUCUCAGCUUGUUUUUGCAUAAAAAUUGCUUCCAGGUUCAAGCAAUACUGAUGUUUUUUUAAGUAAGGAAAUCGAAGGAAAACGGGUCAUGUUUAACCUUUUUACUGAGAGAGAAAAAAAAACCUCUCUUAGGGGCCUCAAUCGGCGGCCCCCAAACCCCUGCCUCCCCUGAAUUCAAACCCUAGUUACGGCCCUG